UGCUGCAAGUACUGGAGCACCAUCUCUGAAAUCUGCUCUAAGCUGAACUCUAGCUCUACAUCUGAAGACAUUAAUCUGCGGCUGGCGCUGCAGAGUGAUUACCUUCUGACAUCUAACCUGGCUGCUUUCCGGCUCAUCUCACAGGACAUCAUCAGUGGCUCUAAUGAGUCCUUAUUCAUCAGUAAAAAU